UAUAAACUCGUUUACAUGAUUCAUAUAUCAUCGGGCACAAUUUUUGAGCACCUACCUACGUUAUUUAAAAACCGAAAUUAUAAAUUAUAAAAAAAAGAAUUAUAAGGAACAAGAGACAAAGUGGAAUUUCUUAAUUAUAGUGUACAAUAUAUUUUAUAAAACGUGAAAUUAAUCCUAUGGGCCGUAGUGUAAUUAAAUUGGCACGGAGUCGAUCAUUUAUCAUUCACACCUGUCAGACUAUUUUUCCAUGAUUCAAGUAUGAAUAAUUACUAAGUCUAGUAAGAAUUAGCAAAAAAUAAAUCUACAUUAAAAUUCACAAAGUAACGUGUUCCGAGACGUUGCGGAUUUAAAAGUAUUAUUAGCAAAAUCGCCACACUAAUAUUAGGUUAUCAAAAAUGUGCCUGCAUUUUUAACUUGUCAAAAUUAAAAAAUAUGUCUACAUAAUGGUACGUUUAAGGAUAUACAAGCGGAAAAAAUGAUAGGUUAUUCAUCGUUGUGAUAUUUUACUUUUAACUGUCAUCGGUUUCAUUUUGUAGAGUUAAUUUGGUGUUUAUACGAUUUAUGAUCAUUGUGACCAGUCAACAAACCGAAAGUAUCUAUUUGUUGUUAUGUUUUACCGCCGAAAUGAUUUAUUAAAGUGUCGAGAAGCUCAUUACGAAACGCAGUGUAUGAAAUCAAAUGAUUACAAGACAGUAAUUAUUAUGUACUUAAAUAUGAUGACUUGUAAAUACCUCGUGCGAUUACAUUUCUGUCGUGUGCCGUUGCGCUCAAAGCGAAACCAACUCGUCUUGUCCAACGCUAACACUGCCAGAGUUUGACGAACGAUCGAUACGUCUGAAAAGGCUAAUAAAAAAUUCAAAGCGAAAAUAGAAAAUAUAAAUAAAAAGAACUUAUGUAUUGAUCACAACCGGUUGUUGUGCGGAUGUCGCGGGAAACGCUGCACGGAAGCGGCGACCUAUUCGAUCGCACCGCACACAAACACAGGCGACCGCACAUUCA